rnacentral:rRNA from 1 species
UGGGGAAUUUUGGACAAUGGGCGCAAGCCUGAUCCAGCCAUGCCGCGUGAGUGAAGAAGGCCUUCGGGUUGUAAAGCUCUGUCUUCAGGGACGAUAAUGACGGUACCUGAGGAGGAAGCCACGGCUAACUACGUGCCAGCAGCCGCGGUAAUACGUAGGUGGCAAGCGUUGUCCGGAUUUACUGGGCGUAAAGGGAGCGUAGGCGGACUUUUAAGUGAGAUGUGAAAUACCCGGGCUCAACCUGGGUGCUGCAUUUCAAACUGGAAGUCUAGGGUGCAGGAGAGGAGAGUGGAAUUCCUAGUGUAGCGGUGAAAUGCGUAGAGAUUAGGAAGAACACCAGUGGCGAAGGCGACUCUCUGGACUGUAACUGACGCUGAGGCUCGAAAGCGUGGGGAGCAGAC